rnacentral:rRNA from 1 species
ACGUAGGGGGCAAGCGUUGUCCGGAAUCAUUGGGCGUAAAGCGCGUGUAGGCGGCUCGAUAAGUCCGCUCUGAAAGUCCGGGGCUCAACCCCGGGAGGCGGGUGGAUACUGUCGAGCUAGAGUCCGGAAGAGGCGAGUGGAAUUCCUGGUGUAGCGGUGAAAUGCGCAGAUAUCAGGAGGAACACCAAUGGCGAAGGCAGCUCGCUGGGACGGUACUGACGCUGAGACGCGAAAGCGUGGGGAGCAAACAGGA